rnacentral:lncRNA from 1 species
CUUGGGCGACCCCUAGGGAAAAGCUGGCACACAGUAAGUACCCCCAAACCAUUUGCUGGAGGGAUGAACAGGCAGGUAAGUCGACAGGGGCGGACUUCCAAAGGCCACCGCAUGUUGGCAACUGAAUGAAGAAUAAAAGCCGAUCUCCCUGCAACCCUGGUAGAAGCCUUGCUGGCCCAGGCCCAGUUUCCUUCCUCCUUCCUCCAGGAACCACGGCCUUUGGGUUCUCUGGACAGGAAACCUGUCUCCCUGUGUCUGCUGGUUCUUCCACCCAGAGACAUCAGCUUGUGAUCAAAUGUCACCAUCAGACAGAAGUUGUUCUCCUCUCCCCUAUGCCGCCUCUGCUUGAUAGUCAAUUUCAUAUUAUCUAACGAAUUUUCUAAUAACAAUUCUCAAUAGAAGUCUGUGAUGUUCUGGACAAUGGCGGAGAGGUGGAAUUCUGACUGGCUGGGAUUAUCACAACGUUAAGAACUGGUUGAGGACCAGAGGGGUAAGCCCCAUGGGCCAGGUUGCCCAGCUCUGUCUUCAUGGAACCUAGGAUACUCACUAGCUGUGAGUUACAAGAGUUACUCAGAAGCCACUCCUGCCCUGGGGUCAUCGCCCACCUACCCCAUCUGAAGGGGACUACAGGGCACUGACUCCUCUGCACCCGCAGUGAAGGUUAAUCAGGCAGAUCAGCCCUGGCCUUGGUCCCUUGCUGACUGUGAAGCUGGGGCCACAUGCUGCCAGGUGGAACUCAGCAGGCUCCAUCCCGGGAGUGGGAGCAUUGGGAGAGGUCUUGGCCAGGAAUACUGGGAGCUACCUUCAGGUUCUAGCAGCUUCCUCAGCACUGUCCUGGAAGACGAGCUGAGUGGGGAUCCUUCCACACCAUCCACACACCGUCUAGCCCCUCCUAUACCAUCCACACACACCCCUCCCUUCACACCCCCCACCCAC